GUGGAAAUGAGGAGACUUUCCCCAAAUGAUCGACUAUGAUUCAAACUGUGCUAUCUCUUCUCCUUCGGGAGAUAUAAGCCAGGUUUCUGAUCCAC